UGCUGGUUCGGGCAGAAAUCACACUAGCAUUUCCCUUCUUCAUCAUCCAGGGAGUUGCCUUGGCAGGACCAAAUUUUGACUCUCAAACUAGCCCCUUCCAUUCUUAGGGAUUUGGGGGCAGUACAAGCCAGAGGGAACCCAGUGGAGCACUUCUCUCUCUAGAGAGAAAGACAGCAUUGGCUGAAGGACUGUGACAAGAUGAUUUGGUCUUAAAGAUGACUUUCCAAACUGCCUUUAGGAGCACUUUCUUCAGCUGAAAUACCACAUACAGCUAGCCUAUGCAAGGGACACCAGGCCAUUAAUGGAUUAGGUGGUCUUGGAUGUCACUGCUCUGUUUACAGGUGCCAUAUGUCCCUAGCUUGAGUCUUUCCCACCUACCUCACCAGUUACUGUGA
rnacentral:lncRNA from 1 species